rnacentral:rRNA from 1 species
UACGAAGGGGGCUAGCGUUGCUCGGAAUUACUGGGCGUAAAGCGCACGUAGGCGGCUUUCUAAGUCGGGGGUGAAAUCCUGGAGCUCAACUCCAGAACUGCCUUCGAUACUGGAGAGCUUGAGUCCGGGAGAGGUGAGUGGAACUGCGAGUGUAGAGGUGAAAUUCGGUAGAUAUUCGCAAGAACACCAGUGGCGAAAGGCGGCU